rnacentral:rRNA from 1 species
GACGAACGCUGGCGGCGCGCUUAACACAUGCAAGUCGAACGGAAAGGCCUGCUUUCCCUUGUGGAUUGCGGGUACUCGAGUGGCGAACGGGUGAGUAACACGUGAGUGAUCUGCCCCCAACUUGGGUAUAAGCCUGGGAAACUGGGUCUAAUUCCCGAUAGGACUGCAGGGUGGUGCCUGUGGUGGAACACGGUUUUCUAGUGGUUGGGGAUGAGCUAGCGGCCUAUCAGCUUGUUGGUGGGGUAAUGGCCUACCAAGGCGGCGACGGGUAGCCGGCCUGAGAGGGUGGACGGCCACAUUGGGACUGAGAUACGGCCCAGACUCCUACGGGAGGCAGCAGUGGGGAAUAUUGCACAAUGGGCGGAAGCCUGAUGCAGCGACGCCGCGUGGGGGAUGACGGCCUUCGGGUUGUAAACUCCUUUCGACCGCGAGGAAGCCACCUGGUUGGAAGGGUGGUGACGGUAGUGGUAGAAGAAGCACCGGCUAACUACGUG